CUCCUCUCAGGACCACACCUGGAGAGUUUCCAGUACUCUACCAGUUCUUGGCUACAGGAGGGAAAGUCAAGCAGGGGCCUACCCAUUUCAUUUCUAGCUUGGCCCUUGGCUAGUGAGUGGAAGGCAAUCUGCUACAAGU